rnacentral:miRNA from 1 species
GCAAGGGAGAGGGUGAAGGGAG